rnacentral:rRNA from 1 species
UACGAAGGGGGCUAGCGUUGUUCGGAAUUACUGGGCGUAAAGGGCGCGUAGGCGGUGUGUCAAGUCAGGCGUGAAAGCCCCCGGCUCAACUGGGGAGGGUCAUUCGAUACUGAUCGACUCGAAGGCAGGAGAGGGUAGUGGAAUUCCCGGUGUAGUGGUGAAAUGCGUAGAUAUCGGGAGGAACACCAGUGGCGAAGGCGACUACCUGGCCUGUUCUUGACGCUGAGGCGCGAAAGCUAGGGGAGCAAACGGGG